rnacentral:rRNA from 1 species
GACGAAUGCUGGCGGCGUGCUUAACACAUGCAAGUCGAACGGAAAGGCCCUGCUUGCAGGGUACUCGAGUGGCGAACGGGUGAGUAACACGUGGGUGAUCUGCCCUGCACUUCGGGAUAAGCCUGGGAAACUGGGUCUAAUACCGGAUAGGAGCCAUUUUUAGUGCGAUGGUUGGAAAGUUUUUUCGGUGUAGGAUGAGCUCGCGGCCUAUCAGCUUGUUGGUGGGGUAAUGGCCUACCAAGGCGGCGACGGGUAGCCGGCCUGAGAGGGUGGACGGCCACAUUGGGACUGAGAUACGGCCCAGACUCCUACGGGAGGCAGCAGUGGGGAAUAUUGCACAAUGGGCGCAAGCCUGAUGCAGCGACGCCGCGUGGGGGAUGACGGCCUUCGGGUUGUAAACUCCUUUCGCUAGGGACGAAGCUUUUGUGACGGUACCUAGAGAAGAAGCACCGGCUAACUACGUG